rnacentral:snRNA from 1 species
AGCCAUGUGGUGAGCACAGAGCGAACUAUUCUUUCGCCUUUUACUAAAGAAUACCGUGUGCUCUCCACGCUAAGUGGCAUACGCCUAUUUUUGGAGGGUUCUUACUUCACUGUGAGAC